rnacentral:rRNA from 1 species
CAGUAGCCACGGUAAUACAGAGGGUGCGAGCGUUAAUCGGAUUUACUGGGCGUAAAGCGUGCGUAGGCGGCUUCUUAAGUCGGAUGUGAAAUCCCUGAGCUUAACUUAGGAAUUGCAUUCGAUACUGGGAAGCUAGAGUAUGGGAGAGGAUGGUAGAAUUCCAGGUGUAGCGGUGAAAUGCGUAGAGAUCUGGAGGAAUACCGAUGGCGAAGGCAGCCAUCUGGCCUAAUACUGACGCUGAGGUACGAAAGCAUGGGGAGCAAACAGGAUUAGAUACCCGGGUAGUCCCUGUCUCUUAUAC